UCCAGAGUGCCGUUUGAGCCUGCAUCCCUCGGGGUGCUUGGUUCAAAAACCCAGCUGAGGUUGCAGCGGUGUGUGCAGGGAGCGCUCUCAGCUCGGAGGUGCUGGUGCUGAAGCAGGCAGGGUAGAGGGGCUGUGCCUGCCCCCUGGGGAAUCCCUCCGCUCCCUACCGGAGCUGCCCUGGGGCUGUGGCCACGUCACGUCAUCUCUCUGCUCUUUGCUUUCUCCUUUGUAAGAUUAAAAAUAGUGCUUACCCUCAGAACAGGAAACAGCGUAUGGGAAGAGACCGGAGAGCUUUGAUGGCAGAAGCAGGUCAGGGCAGCGUCUUCUCACAUUUCUGUAUCCAGGCAGAAAACCAUCCCAAGCCACUGCAUCUCCAUUUGUCCUGGCAUGUUGUACAUCGCUCCGUUCACUUGUAGGUACUUCUCCCCAUAGCUGUAGGCUCUCUCCUGACAUCUUCAAUUCGAUGUCAUUUGCACAGCCUCUGUUUCGGAUGUCUAACCCUCUCGCUAACUUCUGUGUCUCAAAGCAGGUCUGCCUGAGGGUGCCUGACAGACCAGAGCAGUCUCUGAGCCCCAGGCUACGAAUUAAUUACUGCCAAUCUGAAUUCAGCUGAGGCUGACCCAGCCUGACAGAUACAAGCUGGGAAUGCUUCUCAUAAUGUCACGCAGCCCGUGCUUACAGCUGCCCUUCCUGUCUCUGUACAAGGGGCUUGUCCUGGGAGCUCGAAGGCUGAUUC